AGUGAACGCUGGCGGUAGGCCUAACACAUGCAAGUCGAACGGCAGCACAGUAAGAGCUUGCUCUUACGGGUGGCGAGUGGCGGACGGGUGAGGAAUACAUCGGAAUCUACUUUUUCGUGGGGGAUAACGUAGGGGAACUUACGCUAAUACCGCAUACGACCUACGGGUGAAAGGAGGGGAUCUUCGGACCUUGUGCGAAUGAAUGAGCCGAUGUCGGAUUAGCUAGUUGGCGGGGUAAAGGCCCACCAAGGCGACUAUCCGUAGCUGGUCUGAGAGGAUGGUCAGCGACCCUGGAACUGAGACACGCUCCAUACUCCUGCGGGAGGCAGCAGUGGGGAAUAUCGGACAAUGGGCGCAAGCCUGAUCCAGCCAUACCGCGUGGGUUAAGAAGGCCUUCGGGCUGUAAAGCCCUUUUGUUGGUAAAGAAAAGCAGCAGGUUAAUACCCCGCUGUUCUGACGGUACCCAAAGAAUAAGCACCGGCUAACUUCGUG
rnacentral:rRNA from 1 species